UCGGGAUAAUGAGUGCCUAUCGGGACGUCGCGACGGUUGUCACGAACCCGAUGAGAGUUCUGGGUCGUGACAAUGCAAAUGCAGGAUAUUUAUCUGAUUCACACAAAACUCAAUCCCAGAAAGGUUUCUUAUUCAUAGGUGGAGGUUAUAUGGAUGCAAUGGCUGAAGAACAAAUAGAUUUUGGAGAUGAGGAGUAUGGAGGGGCACAAAAGAUGCAGUAUCAGGGAAGUGGAGCCAUCCCUGCUCUUGCAGAUGAAGAGAUGAUGGGGGAAGAUGAUGAAUAUGAUGAUCUCUACAAUGAUGUUAAUGUUGGAGAAGGCUUUCUUCAGUUGCAACGAUCUGAGGCACCACCACAACCAGGUGGUAUGGGCAGUACUGGACUUCAAGCUCAGAAAAAUGAGGCUCCUGAACCGAGAGGUGAAGCUGGGGGUUCACAAGGGCUAAACAUUCCAGGAGUUUCAGUUCAAGGGAAGCACCUCAAUGUUACUGCCCGGUAUCCUGAGCAGGAUGGGCAGCCAGCUGUUAGCAGACCAGAAAUGGGAUCUGGGAGUUAUCCAUCUGGGACUUCUAUUUCACAGAAGGGACGUGUUAUGGAGGGGACCCAAGAUACCCAAGUGAAAAAUAUGGGUUUUCAAGGAUUGAGUUCGGCAUCCCACAAGGUUGGGAUUGAUCCUUCUGGUGUGCCUCAAAAGAUUGCCAAUGUCCCUGCUCAAUCUCUAAAUUCAGGUACUGGUGGACCUCAAGGUGCUCCACAUGUUCCACCUAAUCAAAUGGGUUUGAAUGUUAAUCAUCCUAUGAUAAGCGAAAAUCAGGUUCGGCCACCUAUAGAGAAUGGUCCGACCAUGCUGUUUGUUGGAGAACUACAUUGGUGGACAACUGAUGCAGAGCUUGAGAGUGUUUUAUCUCAAUAUGGAAGGGUGAAGGAGAUUAAGUUCUUUGAUGAGAGAGCUAGUGGUAAAUCCAAAGGGUAUUGUCAAGUUGAGUUCUAUGAUCCAGCUUCUGCUGCUGCAUGCAAAGAGGGAAUGGAUGGUUAUAUGUUCAAUGGGAGAGCUUGUGUUGUGGCUUUUGCUUCACCACAGACAUUGAAGCAGAUGGGAGCUUCCUAUAUGAACAAAAACCAAGGCCAGUCUCAAGCACAGCCUCAAGGCAGGAGGCCAAAUGAUGGUCUGGGGAGAGGUGGUAAUAUGAAUUACCAAAGUGGAGAUGCAGGGAGGAACUAUGGAAGGGGUGGCUGGGGACGGGGUGGUCAAGGAGUAGUCAACCGAUCUGGGGUGGGAGGACCAAUGAGAGGAAGGGGAGGUGUAGGUGUGAAGAACAUGGUUGGGAGCUCUGCUGGAGUUGGAAAUGGUGCUAAUGGUGGAGCGGCCUAUGGACAAGGACCAGCAGGUCCUCCAUUUGGUGGUCCAGCUGGUGGCAUGAUGCAUCCACAGGGCAUGAUGGGAGCUGGGUUUGAUCCAACAUAUAUGGGUCGAGGAGGCAGUUAUGGAGGUUUUCCAGGGCCUGGUUUUCCUGGCAUGCUUCCUUCAUUUCCAGCUGUUAAUACAUUGGGACUUGCUGGUGUAGCUCCUCAUGUCAAUCCUGCUUUCUUUGGCCGUGGAAUGGCACCUAAUGGAAUGGGAAUGAUGGGUGGACCUGGAAUGGAUGGACCUCAUGUGGGAAUGUGGACUGACACAAGCAUGGGUGGGUGGGGAGGAGAUGAACAUGGUCGCAGGACUAGAGAGUCUAGUUAUGGUGGUGAAGAUGGUGCUUCAGAGUAUGGUUAUGGAGAUGCAAAUCAUGAAAAAGGAAGGUCGAGUGGUGCCUCUCGGGAAAAAGAGCGGGUUUCUGAUCGUGAGUGGUCAGGCAACUCUGAUAGGAGGCAUCGUGAUGAGAAGGAACGGGACUGGGACAGGUCUGAGAGGGAGCAUAGAGAACACCGCUAUAGGGAAGAAAAAGACAGUUACAGAGAGCAUCGACAUCGAGAACGUGACUUGGAUUAUGAUGAUGACUUGGAUAGGGGACAAUCUUCUUCAAGAUCUCGGAGAAGGUCCCAUGCAAUGCCAGAAGAACAGCGCAGGUCUCGAUCAAGGGAUGUGGACUAUGGGAAGAGGAGACGCCUGCCAUCAGAAUGACAAAAUAUGCUGUGCAUCCUUCUUUACCGUUUCUUAUGAGACCUUUAAUUAAGAUUUUACUCUCAGUUCUAUAAUCAUUUCAGCAUUCGCUAUGAUGAUCGUUGGUCCUUAUGCAGAGUGUGGCUUCUUAAGGGAAGAAGGAGUGGAGUGGGCAACUCUUUGUUGAGGAAGAUGUGUUAGAAUGGCUGGCUUCAUUGGCUUCCUCUGAUAUUUGCUUUGGCCUUUCAAGUGUGCAAAAAAAUCUUUUUCUUUUUUGAGCACUGUUAAGAAACUGUAACCUCUGGAAAGAAAGUAAAUCCAACUGAAUUCAUGAAGUGGAUGUUGGUGAUAUGUUUCAAGAUACAACCACUGCUUACAUUAUAGUCUUCUUGUAAAGCAUUUUUUGUCUUGUAAAGUUGAAUCUGUUUAUUAGGUCCACAAUUUUGUAAUGGCCUCUUUCAUUGUUUUUAUGGCCAUAUUUGGCUUUCUAAUGAGCUUUAUAGGAGUCUUGUACAGAGAUUGAUGUGAUUCUGGUUAUAAUUUAUAUACUUGUAAUUGAUACUGUUAGCUUUGUCAUAAGAAUAGGAUAGAUGAGCUAGAUGCAAAUUGUAACGUGGGGUUGCUGUUCCAACUGUAACUGGUCAAUGUAACAUAUGUACUCAGUUUCUGUUUAAGCAUUUUAUUUCCAUCAAUUUUGAA